CUAAUAUUUCAUCCGUCUUACAAAGGUUGUCUCAACUUUGAUUAAAUUUGAAUGCAUUUAUACACUAAGUCAUGUCUAAAUACAUCCAAAUUUUGACAAACUUGAAACAUAUUUUGUUGGACGGAAGGAAUAUUAA
rfam:Brachypodium distachyon strain Bd21 chromosome 4, whole genome shotgun sequence.